AAUGUCUCAUAUUAAUAUUAAUCACAAAUUAAAUUAACAAACUGGUCUAAGACUAUAAAUUCUACAUGUGCAUAUUCAAUUAGCUAAAUCCCUAUUUGAGUAACCACCUCAACGUAACAUCAAAAAAACUUGAUUAUUCUAGCCCGAUCAUCCAAAUCCCCUUCCAAAAGAGAUCGCCCUCACCAUCCUGGCAAACAAAGGUCCCAGAGUGCCAGAAAUUAUCAGGCUGCUGGACUGGACAGACCACCCUGACCACUUCGUCAUGGUUCUCGAAUGUCCCUCUCCCUGUGAGAAUCUCGUGGAGUUCAUCAGGCGCCACGGUGGAAGCCUCGACGAGGAGAAAACACGGCAGAUCAUGUGGCAGGCAGCUCAUGCUGCAAACAUGUGCCACCUCCGUGGAGUGUUCCACCGUGACGUCAAACUAGAGAACAUACUGGUAAACAGGGAGACAUCCGAAGUCAGGCUGAUUGACUUUGGAUGCGGGGACAUUUUGAGGAGGACACCAUACAGGUCAUACUCUGGUAUGUAUGAUAUAAUUAAUGUCUUCUAAUAGAUACAGAACAAUCAUGCGGCAAACUUACACAUCAUACAAUCUCCUCUCUCCUCCAGGCACAGCAGUGUACUCCCCUCCAGAGUACCACAGCAGGGGGAAGUACUACGGCGGGCCGGCGACGGUCUGGUCACUAGGGACUGUGAUGUUCGCAUUGUUGUGUGGACACUUCCCUAGUGACUAUGACCUGUUCCUGCUGCAGUGCAAGCGCUGGUCCAAACCCGGCCUGUCAAAAGAAUGCUGUGACCUCCUCAGGGCUCUCCUGCACGAGAAGCCAAGCCAGAGACUUGGUCUGGGGCGAAUCAUGUCCCACAACUGGUUUAAGGUCGUCUUAUAAGACCACUCCAGUUGGCGUCUCUCAUGCAGCUUUGCGUCUUGCGGGCUGCAUCAGGAGACGCUUCCAUCCCUCCUCCUUGCACCUUGGCUUGAGGAAGCAAUAUUUGCGUCUGGUGGUACAGCUUCCGGAGGGAUGUUGUAUAUAUAUACAUACUUCUUUUGGUUGCCCCGUUUUUUGUCUUCACCUCCACAAUGAUGCCAGAGGUUCCUGUUAUAGUAGCCACAGGGGGUGCUGUCACUGAUACCUGGUCUACAAACUCCAAAUCUGAAAUAAAGAAAAUAAAAAA
ensembl:lncRNA